AUUGAACGCUGGCGGCAUGCCUUACACAUGCAAGUCGAACGGCAGCACGGGUGCUUGCACCUGGUGGCGAGUGGCGAACGGGUGAGUAAUACAUCGGAACAUGUCCUGUAGUGGGGGAUAGCCCGGCGAAAGCCGGAUUAAUACCGCAUACGAUCUACGGAUGAAAGCGGGGGCCCUUCGGGCCUCGCGCUUUCGGGUUGGCCGAUGGCUGAUUAGCUAGUUGGGGGGGUAAAGGCCUACCAAGGCGACGAUCAGUAGCUGGUCUGAGAGGACGACCAGCCACACUGGGACUGAGACACGGCCCAGACUCCUACGGGAGGCAGCAGUGGGGAAUUUUGGACAAUGGGCGAAAGCCUGAUCCAGCAAUGCCGCGUGUGUGAAGAAGGCCUUCGGGUUGUAAAGCACUUUUGUCCGGAAAGAAAUCCUUGGCCCUAAUACGGUCGGGGGAUGACGGUACCGGAAGAAUAAGCACCGGCUAACUACGUG
rnacentral:rRNA from 1 species